GGGCUGAGUAGUUUAGGCUGCCCAAGGUUGUUGGGCCCACAGUCAAGGGUAGCAUCAGAGCUGCCCCUGAACCUGGAGCUCCCACGUGUCCAAGCUGAUGACAGCUGACAAAGCUGGGGGCUCCGGGCUUCAUCCCACCAGGAACCCCAGAGCUUGGUGGGACGGUGGCUCCAGGGGUGAGAGGCUGCUUCCCCUGUGGAAUGUUUCCUCACAUCCUUCAAACUGGAGAGCUGGAGCUGGCUGCAGGUGAGGGCCUGUGAGUACAGUAGGGCUUUGGCCCUGGUGAGAGCACCGGAAGCUCCUACCCAAGGUGGAGGGAGGCCCCAGAUGUGGGGGCUGUAAAGGCAUAGUGGGUUCAAGAGGGUGACCCUAAAGGGGGCCACUGGCUGUACAGCCAAGCUUGCCAAUGUGCUGAAAGAGGGCCUGGGAGGAAGGGCCAAAGCAGCAAUUGGCAGGCUGGGGGAGAGCGGUCCUGUAAGAUUGGAGAUGGUAGGGUCUGAGAUGAGACAGCAGAGCCCACCAACACUGGGAUGUGGGCCACCACAGUUGUGCUGCUGAGGGGGAGGAGGUCUGGCUGAGGCCCACUGAUGCCAGAGGCAUGGCCCCUCCCAGUGGAGAGGGGACCCCCCCAUGGGCUUGUGGGGCCAUGGCACAGCUGUUCCCAAUGGCCUGGGUCUCACCCAUCAGAAGAUGGUUGAUGCGCUGCAGAGCUUUCUUCUCCCGGUCUAGGUCCUCAGCAGUCACUGAACAGGCCAAUUCCAGAGGUGGUGGCAGCUUCAGAGGUUCCCCUCGGAAACUUGCAUUUCCGUGGCCUACCAGUGUCUCCCGUGGGUGAGGACUUCUUCCUGGGAAAUGGCUGUCCCGCCCUGCCUUCUGCC
rnacentral:lncRNA from 1 species